AAAUUGAAGAGUUUGAUCAUGGCUCAGAUUGAACGCUGGCGGCAGGCCUAACACAUGCAAGUCGAACGGUAACAGGAAGCAGCUUGCUGCUUUGCUGACGAGUGGCGGACGGGUGAGUAAUGUCUGGGAAACUGCCUGAUGGAGGGGGAUAACUACUGGAAACGGUGGCUAAUACCGCAUAACGUCGCAAGACCAAAGAGGGGGACCUUCGGGCCUCUUGCCAUCAGAUGUGCCCAGAUGGGAUUAGCUUGUUGGUGAGGUAACGGCUCACCAAGGCGACGAUCCCUAGCUGGUCUGAGAGGAUGACCAGCCACACUGGAACUGAGACACGGUCCAGACUCCUACGGGAGGCAGCAGUGGGGAAUAUUGCACAAUGGGCGCAAGCCUGAUGCAGCCAUGCCGCGUGUAUGAAGAAGGCCUUCGGGUUGUAAAGUACUUUCAGCGGGGAGGAAGGUGUUGUGGUUAAUAACCGCAGCAAUUGACGUUACCCGCAGAAGAAGCACCGGCUAACUCCGUGCCAGCAGCCGCGGUAAUACGGAGGGUGCAAGCGUUAAUCGGAAUUACUGGGCGUAAAGCGCACGCAGGCGGUCUGUCAAGUCGGAUGUGAAAUCCCCGGGCUCAACCUGGGAACUGCAUUCGAAACUGGCAGGCUUGAGUCUUGUAGAGGGGGGUAGAAUUCCAGGUGUAGCGGUGAAAUGCGUAGAGAUCUGGAGGAAUACCGGUGGCGAAGGCGGCCCCCUGGACAAAGACUGACGCUCAGGUGCGAAAGCGUGGGGAGCAAACAGGAUUAGAUACCCUGGUAGUCCACGCCGUAAACGAUGUCUACUUGGAGGUUGUGCCCUUGAGGCGUGGCUUCCGGAGCUAACGCGUUAAGUAGACCGCCUGGGGAGUACGGCCGCAAGGUUAAAACUCAAAUGAAUUGACGGGGGCCCGCACAAGCGGUGGAGCAUGUGGUUUAAUUCGAUGCAACGCGAAGAACCUUACCUGGUCUUGACAUCCACGGAAGAAUUCAGAGAUGGAUUUGUGCCUUCGGGAACCGUGAGACAGGUGCUGCAUGGCUGUCGUCAGCUCGUGUUGUGAAAUGUUGGGUUAAGUCCCGCAACGAGCGCAACCCUUAUCCUUUGUUGCCAGCGGUCCGGCCGGGAACUCAAAGGAGACUGACAGUGAUAAACUGGAGGAAGGUGGGGAUGACGUCAAGUCAUCAUGGCCCUUACGACCAGGGCUACACACGUGCUACAAUGGCGCAUACAAAGAGAAGCGACCUCGCGAGAGCAAGCGGACCUCAUAAAGUGCGUCGUAGUCCGGAUUGGAGUCUGCAACUCGACUCCAUGAAGUCGGAAUCGCUAGUAAUCGUGGAUCAGAAUGCCACGGUGAAUACGUUCCCGGGCCUUGUACACACCGCCCGUCACACCAUGGGAGUGGGUUGCAAAAGAAGUAGGUAGCUUAACCUUCGGGAGGGCGCUUACCACUUUGUGAUUCAUGACUGGGGUGAAGUCGUAACAAGGUAACCGUAGGGGAACCUGCGGUUGGAUCACCUCCUUA
rnacentral:rRNA from 1 species